rnacentral:tRNA from 1 species
GCCCGGGUGGCGGAAUGGCAGACGCAGCGGUUUCAAAAACCGCCGGACUCACGUCCGUGGGGGUUCGAGUCCCCCCCUGGGCA